UACGGAGGAUGCGAGCGUUAUCCGGAUUUAUUGGGUUUAAAGGGUGCGUAGGCGGAUCGUUAAGUCAGUGGUCAAAUUGAGGGGCUCAACCCCUUCCCGCCAUUGAAACUGGCGAUCUUGAGUGGAAGAGAAGUAUGCGGAAUGCGUGGUGUAGCGGUGAAAUGCAUAGAUAUCACGCAGAACCCCAAUUGCGAAGGCAGCAUGCCGGCUUCCUACUGACGCUGAAGCACGAAAGCGUGGGGAUCGAACAGG
rnacentral:rRNA from 1 species